rnacentral:tRNA from 1 species
GGGGUUGUGGCUCAGUGGUAGAGCGCUUGCCUUGCACGCUUGAGGCCCUGGGUUCCAUCCUCAGCCCCA